AAAACGGCCCUUUUCAGGGCCAACAAUUCUUCUUUCGAAAGAACA
rfam:Melipona quadrifasciata isolate 0111107301 unplaced genomic scaffold scaffold86, whole genome shotgun sequence.